rnacentral:rRNA from 1 species
CGGUACAUCGGUGACAGGUGGUGCAUGGUUGUCGUCAGCUCGUGUCGUGAGAUGUUGGGUUAAGUCCCGCAACGAGCGCAACCCCUAUUGUUAGUUGCCAUCAUUCAGUUGGGCACUCUAGCGAGACUGCCGGUAAUAAACCGGAGGAAGGUGGGAUGACGUCAAAUCAUCAUGCCCCUUAUGACCUGGGCUACACACGUGCUACAAUGGUUGGUACAACGAGUUGCGAGUCGGUGACGGCGAGCUAAUCUCUUAAAGCCAAUCUCAGUUCGGAUUGUAGGCUGCAACUCGCCUACAUGAAGUCGGAAUCGCUAGUAAUCGCGGAUCAGCACGCCGCGGCCGAAUACGUUCCGGGCCUU